rnacentral:rRNA from 1 species
CAGCAGCCGCGGGAAUACGGAGGGAGCUAGCGUUGUUCGGAAUUACUGGGCGUAAAGCGCGCGUAGGCGGUUACUCAAGUCAGAGGUGAAAGCCCGGGGCUCAACCCCGGAACUGCCUUUGAAACUAGGUGACUAGAAUCUUGGAGAGGUCAGUGGAAUUCCGAGUGUAGAGGUGAAAUUCGUAGAUAUUCGGAAGAACACCAGUGGCGAAGGCGACUGACUGGACAAGUAUUGACGCUGAGGUGCGAAAGCGUGGAGAGCAAACAGGAUUAGAUACCCGCGUAGUCCCUGUCUCUUAUAC